UGCGCUCUUUUCGGACGGCGGCGGUCAUGGCGCUUGCUGGGGCAGCGGCUUGGGUCGCCGGGCUGCCUGGACCCAGCAGAGCGCAUCGCGGGCACGCCCGCCCUCCGCGGCUGGAGGGGCCCCGGGCCCGGCGCCGUCCGCCUGCGCUCCCCCCACCGCGUCUCUGACCCACUGGCUGCGACCUUGAGGAAGUCGCUUCGUAUUUCUGGGAGCCUGCCUGUGGGAAACCGAGCGCCCGGAAGGGCAUGCUGGGCCCUCGGUGCUCGGCUGGCCUCAUGAGGUGGUUCUGCAUUGGACAGCAGGACGUGGGAGUGGACCACUGGAGCGUCAGUGAGUGGAAAAUGGGAGCAGACUGCAGUUGGCUAACGUGCUGAAGAGCAGAGCGUUGCUUAUCUCUCAACCUUGGAUCAAAAAAAUGGUGGUCCCCAGAUUUUCCUUUGGGGUAUAGAAUAAUGCCACCUGACAAUCUGAAAUGAUUUAGGAGGCAUAAGUCCCAGAGCAUCACUAACUGUCACCGUGUGUGGACUUGCAGUCCGUCGGUCAGUACCGCGCUAGUGGCUUGCAGAGAGGGUGCAGAACUCCUGAGGAAGGUCCCUCUUGCUGCACUGGGAUCCUCCAGUUCAGUAAACGGAGAAGUUACCGCUCCCUGAACAUCAGCUCACAGUGUGUGGACACUGGCCGGAAGAACCAUCACAGUCCAGACCAAGGUCCAGGGCCCAGCCUGGCACCCCAUAGGUGACCCUGGAGUAGACCUCCAGACGCAGGCUCGGUCACUCCAGGACCCGCCUCAGGAUGUAUACGGCAGCAGCUUCCAGAAUCCGGCCCCGCAAAGUGCACGCGUUGAAAGUGAAACUGAAACCGGUCCUGAAGCACCUUCUGUAUGCACAUAGGGUACACACGGGUGGCCCUUUAAUAAAGGCACAUCUUCCUUUCUGGGCACAUGCACAUGCCUUUGAGAGAAGAGAGACCCCUGACCUUCUGGCUCCAACUGAGACCCAAGGUGUUGACCAGGGAGUGUGGCGACCCGUCCUGCCAGCCCGUGAGGUGCUGCUUGUGGGUUAUCUCAGACAUGGCUGGUUUCUGUUCACAGAUGAGGCCCCUGCUGAAGCCUGGGGCAGCGUCCUCAGGCCCCUGGGAACGCACGCACAGCACCACAGCAGGGAGACAGAACAUGGCUUUGGUCCACACCCUGCUGCGAGGGCACACGAGACAGGACUGGGGAAACCGGCUCUGAGAAGUGUCUCUGGAGGAACAGAACCACAGGCUUAUAAUAACUGAGCAGGGCAUCCGUGUUGGAAAGCAGCCCCGGGUGCCCCGCCGGCAGGUUCUACGCCAACAUGGUGGCUUUGCAGGCUGAGGGCACUGCUGCCUAAGUGUCAGCCGAGAUGGCUCAGGAUCUGAAAGACCGAGGGAAAGCCGGUGACGGGGACACAGUGGACUGGGGGACAUACAGUGCACGUUUGCAGAAGGCCCCAAGGUGCUGCAGCCCGGCUCUGCUUUUCAAGGAGGAUGAGUGGGCAGACAGGUGUCCCUGCCGGGCAGGGUUAGUACGUCCACCGCGCCUCACGGGACAGCAGGGGGCCCCUGUGUGCAUGACACUGCAGUGGGUAGAGGACACGGUGCCCAUCUGAAACCCCCUACUUUGUGUCUGGGGAGCACGGUCAUGGCCAGCUGCAGGGUCCAAGUGCCCAGUCCCAAGCUUUCACUGUAUUCAGAUGUCUUCCCCUUAUCAAGAGGAAAACUCUAGAUGGGAAAAUCAUUUUAAUAUAUUAGGAGUGAAGUUUAGGAAUACUGGGAAUGUGGUGUAAUAGUCGAGGUUUUACAGUGUGUGUUUUAGGCAAAAGGUUUUUAAAGAAGCCACGUGGGGGGUUGUGCACCUCAUCGGGCAGGGCAGGUUGGAACGUGGGCACUCAGCCUGCCAGCUCCAGGGAAGGGGCUCAGGCUCCAGGGAGCACAACUUCCUGUUGUGGGUCGGGACAGAAGAGAAAGGAAAUGCUUGGCUCUUUCCCAAAUAAGGGACUGUACCUAGAGGUUCAUUAAAAUGAGUUAAAGAACAA